rnacentral:rRNA from 1 species
GUGGGGAAUAUUGGACAAUGGGCGAAAGCCUGACCCAGCAACGCCGCGUGAAGGAAGAAGGUCUUCGGAUCGUAAACUUCUAUCCUUGGUGAAGAUAAUGACGGUAGCCGAGAAGGAAGCCCCGGCUAACUACGUGCCAGCAGCCGCGGUAAUACGUAGGGGGCAAGCGUUGUCCGGAAUGAUUGGGCGUAAAGGGCGCGUAGGCGGCCUGGUAAGUCUGGAGUGAAAGUCCUGCUUUUAAGGUGGGAAUUGCUUUGGAUACUGUCGGGCUUGAGUGCAGGAGAGGUAAGUGGAAUUCCCGGUGUAGCGGUGAAAUGCGUAGAGAUCGGGAGGAACACCAGUGGCGAAGGCGACUUACUGGACUGUAACUGACGCUGAGGCGCGAAAGUGUGGGGAGCAAACAGGAUUAGAUACCCCGGUAGUCC